rnacentral:rRNA from 1 species
AACGGAGGGUGCAAGCGUUAUCCGGAUUCACUGGGGUUAAAGGGAGCGCAGGCGGAUUUGUAAGUCAGUGGGGAAAGGCUUAAGCUUAACUUGGGAACUGCCAUUGAUACUAUAAGUCUUGAAUGUUGUUGAGGUUUGCGGAAUGGGUCAUGUAGCGGUGAAAUGCAUAGAUAUGACCCGGAACACCUAUUGCGAAGGCAGCAGGCUAAACAAAUAUUGACGCUGAGGCUCGAAAGCGUGGGGAUCAAACAGG